GUGGGAAGCAAGAACGGCAAAUGACAGAGCGGAGGGAAGGCUGGCCCAGCCAAUCCUGGAGCCGCUGCAGCACUGGUUCCCCAAACAAACACAUUCUGGUGCAAGGACAGAGAGGAGGGGGCUGCUGGCCCACACCCCUCCCCUGCCGGUAGCCCCCUGGCCGCUCCCCUGUGGGGAGGGCAGCUGGACAGAGGCUGCCCUGGGCCGGGCUGGUGAUGGUGCUGCGGCCCCUCCCUGCUGCCCAGCGUGGGAGGAAGAAGGCAGAGCCAGGCAAGUCUCCCUCUGCGUCCUCUGGGGUGGAAGGAGCAGGUAGAGACAGGGCUGGGGCAGCCAGGGCCGGGUGUUGCUUUGGCAUGGGUGGCGAGAGGGCUGCACCUCCAGCCCCUUGGGUCUGGUUCCACUCCCGGCCUGUCCCUGGCACUCAGCAACUGCGUCUAUGUGCCUGUUGGUGCCACCAUGUUAUAUAACGCUUAUAUAAUCUCCCAGGGCGAGCACUGUGUCUCCGUUGUCAGGUCACACAGACACUGUGUCCGUGUGGGAGUCAGGAUCUGUGGGAGCCCGGGGGUGGGCCUGCGCCCUCUGCUCCCGGUCCCGGCCGUGGAGGGGGAGAUGGGCGAGCAGGGGCCCAUGGCACACCAGCUGUCUGCGCCUGAGAAAGAAGGGCUGGCUGGGCAGCUGUCCUCUCCUUGCCCCCGUAUGUCCCCCCUUGCCCGGUGGAUCCUCUUGUGGAGCGGAUGCCCUUCUGGUGCCCGAGAGGUCAGCUUUUUGUUCUUGGGGCGCCCCUGGCACGCAGAUGGGUGUGGUGAGAUGACCCCCGGAACGUUGCAGGGGGAAGAGUACGUGGUACCUGGGGUUGCAUAAAGAGCGAGAGAUGAGCUCUGCCUUUGAGGUUUUGAGCAAGAGCGCCUGGAAGGAUGGGCUGGUGGUGGCAUUCUAAGAAGCUGGGAGCCGGCCUAGGGGCUAGAGGGUGGCCAGGGAAGGGUGUGCGGGGAAGUGGAUCAGACAGCAAAGAUAAACAUGGUGUUCUUUUACUGUACUCUCCACUGGGCUGUCCCUGGUUACCAGGGCAACAGAAGCAGUGAUGAAAAUCAUGCCUUUCGUUCAGUGGAAAAAUCUGGCUCCUCCUCCCGCCUCUUCCUUCUCUAAUCGCCUGCAACCUAUUGGGAGGGUAGUGGCUCCAGGGAUCAGAGACCCCAGUGUGUCUCUCUCAGGGCCCCCCCUUCCCCGUUUUUUGUCAUCGUCCGCCUUCCUGCAUCCCCUCUUUCCCCCAGAGCUCGGUAAUUGGCAGUUGCGUAGGAGUUGGACUUCGUGGAGGGGGAAGGGUGCGGACGUCAUCGCAGGGCAGGGCGAGCCGAGCGUGGGCAGAGAUGUGGAUGCGGGAAGCCACGGGCACACGAGGAGGGUCAGGCAUUGAUCAGCUCGAUGGGGCUCGUUCCUGGGGGUGGAAGGGGUGGGGGAGACAAUGGAAAACCUGCAGAGCCUGGCGUCUGGGCCCGUGGUGGUGGGAAGAGGAGGCUCAGGUGUCUGGGGUGGUCAUGGCUCCUGCCGCGAGCUAGGAUUCAUUCAUUGCGCACUUUUUUAGGGGUGUCUGCCAUGUUAGGUAAGGUUCUGGGAGCUGGGAAGACGCAGGUAAGUAAGCUGGGCCUUGACCUUGAAGAGACUGUGGGAGAUGGGAGGAGGACGGGCAUGUGGGGAAAGAGCAGCUGGCAUUGUGACCAGCCUAGAAUCUGGGGCCCCGGGCAGGAGAUGGGCCACAUUCCCGCCCGGAGGUGAUGGAUUAAGGUGGGGCCUGUGGGAAUUCGGAGGAGGAGGAGGUAGUCAGAGAGCCCCUUUGGCUUGGAGACAGGACAUGGGGGAGAGAAGGUGCUGACAUCUUGAGCCUUAAUGAUUGACAGAAACAGAAAAGUCAGGGUUCAGACUUGUUCGGGGAGUCAUGCUUGCUUUGCUUUUUUAGACGGGUUGCCAUCAAGACAAUGGCAGGGUAUCUGGAUGGAAACGUUACAGUCAGGCAGGUAAAGUUUGCCGUGGACCUGGGCGCUGGGAGGAGAUCUGGAGGAGACUGUGUUGUGAGGUCUGGGAGGCGCGUGGUUGCCGAGACGGUGCGGGGACAGGGAUCCCAGGGCCUGGGGCAUCGGCCUGGAAGGGGGUCAGCUUCUGUACCUCGUGCUUGUGGAUCAGCCCAGGGCGCGCCCAGACUGCCGGACCAGUUUCUGCUAAUGAGCACCCACGUCUUCCCCCCACCCACACCCCGUUCUGAAGCUGAGGUUUCUGUUUAGGUCUUCUUCUCCCUGGUAACGACCUUUGGGAGGGGAUGUCCUGGAAAGAUAGAGCCACACACUUAACCGCUCCGAGCUCUCGGUCUUGACCUUGGUGCUAUCAUUUGCUUAUCAGUUCCUGAGCGGUCGGAGACGUGCUGUCGCGACACAUGCCCUGGGUCCUCAGCCUCCACCAGCAAGGCUGCUUGUUCUGAUGCCUUUCCAGUCAUCUUUCUAGAGGAAAAAGAGCACUGCCCAGAAUCAGGAAGCCUUGGGCAGCUACAUGAUCCCGGGCAAGUGGCUGCUUUUUCCAAGCCUUCGUGCCUGGCCGAAGAUGCGCAUUUCUUCCCCUUUUCCCAGGUCUCUGCGGCAGACUAGGCUUUUGAAGCUAGCAGCCCCGCUCGUGGGAGGGAAUAGCAGGAAUGGGGGUCCCCCGAGCACACCCCGCUCUCCAGAGUGGGUAGCAGCCUCCCAGAGGGAGGGUGGCCUCCGUUCCUCUUGGGAGCUUGGACAUACUAGACGAGUAGGUUGUCCCAGGGACCAGGAGUUGGCAGACGGUAGCCCAUGGGCUGGCCGCCUUCUUUGGUAAAUAAAGUUUUAUUGGGACAGAGAUGCGUACACUGUUUGUCGUGUCGUCUGUGGCCGCUGGAGGUGGCACGACCUACAAGCCGAAAGGAUUUACUGGCUCACCUUUCGAGAAAGAAAUGGCCAACCCUGGCCCUAGACCACCAGGAAAGAGCUCGGACCUCCACUGGGGAUGCUCAUGAGGCCGUUUCGGCUUCCUAGGGCUCUUGCAGCUUCUGCCUCGGGGGCCUUCCUUUGCGAUCCCAAGCAAGGAUGACGUGGCAGUUUUUAGAGUCAGCCCACAGAGAGUAGUGCGGCCGCUGGGAAGUCUGCUGCGUUUUCGUCCCUGUCCCUGCAGCCUGGAGGGCGUCUGUUCCAGCCCUCUCCCCUCUCCCCACCCACACACUCGAACUUCUUCGUGUCCGGGACCCUGAAUUCGUCACUGGGGAUGGCUCGUGGCCUUGGGGCGACAAGCUUUCCUUCCUCUUCUUCCCAGGCCAUGGGGGGAGAAUGGACCAACCCAAACCCAGUGUCUGGUGAGGAGAAGGGGCGCCUCACUGGUUCUGCCGAGUCCCGCAGCACGUGUCCCUUGAUAGCUUUGCUGUGUCACUUCCGGCUUCACUGUGCCCUUUAGUUCCAAGGCCCUGGAGAUGCGCCUGCAAAGAGGGUUUGUCUGCCUGAACUUGGCACUCCUCCACGGUCGGAACCAGGCCCCGUGGCUUGGGGUUUGGGGAGUGUGUGUCUGUGUUGGCAGGGGCUGGAGUUGGCACUCAGGAGCCCUGCGUCAGCCCUUACCGAGUCCCCUUGUGUUCUGGUUCCCACCUGGUUUGAUGUGGUCCUCAAACUGGAGUCUCAGUGAAACUCCUGGCUGGGAGCAGGGUGAAUUUCAAGAUCUUGCUUUUACAAAACAGAAGCACCAGAGCAGAUGGGUCACUUCAGCUCAGGGCUGAGAUAGGAAGUGAGACACUGGUGGCAAGAGGAACCCGCGUGCUCAGAGCAGUAUGGGGGGGGGGCGCAGAUGACUGAGGUUUAUUCCCAUUGCAGCUGGAAGGGAGGAGGCUGGCAGUGGGAGGAGGGAGCAGACGACCCAGAAUAGCAAAGAAGACAGAAGCUCAGCACACCCAGAGCUGCUUUUAGCUGGGCCUGGUAAGCCUGGCUCUAGGAGCCUUACUUCUCACCUCCCUACACACAUUUUUCCCAGAGGCCAGGUUUCUGAGUGUUCUCAUAAAAAAAAAAAAAAAAAAAAA
ensembl:lncRNA